rnacentral:rRNA from 1 species
AGUGAACGCUGGCGGUAGGCCUAACACAUGCAAGUCGAACGGCAGCACAGUAAGAGCUUCCUCUUACGGGUGGCGAGUGGCGGACGGGUGAGGAAUACAUCUGAAUCUACUUUUUCGUGGGGGAUAACGUAGGGAAACUUACGCUAAUACCGCAUACGACCUACGGGUGAAAGCAGGGGAUCUUCGGACCUUGCGCGAUUGAAUGAGCCGAUGUCGGAUUAGCUAGUUGGCGGGGUAAAGGCCCACCAAGGCGACGAUCCGUAGCUGGUCUGAGAGGAUGAUCAGCCACACUGGAACUGAGACACGGUCCAGACUCCUACGGGAGGCAGCAGUGGGGAAUAUUGGACAAUGGGCGCAAGCCUGAUCCAGCCAUACCGCGUGGGUGAAGAAGGCCUUCGGGUUGUAAAGCCCUUUUGUUGGGAAAGAAAAGCAGCAGGUUAAUACCCCGCUGUUCUGACGGUACCCAAAGAAUAAGCACCGGCUAACUUCGUG